CUUUGGAGAAGAAAGUCUCCAAAGAAAGUAGGCAACAUAAAGAACCCCCUGGGUGAACACGGGAGCUGCUGAGUGUUCAGUGCAGAAGGCCUGCCUGUAACUAGCAAUGCAACUGCAGGAUGAAAGAUCAGAUGCCUGAAUCACUUACUGGCCCACAAACACGGGGUGUCUAUGCCUCUGGUUGAGAAAGAGGAACUCCCUGAGGGCUUCCAGUCUAUUCUUCAAGAAGAACAUUUUAGAGCACAAAAAUCAGGAACCAAGCCGUGUGUGGUGACUCCCCUAUCCCAGCACGUUGUCACCUAGACUGAGACGGUGCAGACGAAGCCGUGGCAGGAGAUGUGACAAACACACACAGGAAAGACACCACAGGGGGCACACGCAGAUGCGUGUAUGGGCCCCAAGCCCUGAGCACUCUGAACUUGCCCUGCGAAGAGGAGACAUUUCCUGUCACAUGAUCCUACUGCUUCCACCAAUUCACAGCUAAAUGACAUUGGAAUAGAGUCAUAGCAUUCAAGUUGCGCCCGGCAGUUUGAAAGCUGCUUUCACGUCCUUCAUCUCACUUGCUGCUUGCCACAGCCCAGUAAGACUACUGGCACGAAGGAGGACAGAGAAUUUAUGAACUGCGAACCUGCCUCUGCAGCCUCCAUCAACGCCGACUUCAGAGGGACGCUGGAAACACAGGUUUGGAGGUUAGGAACCUUUGUGGCUGACAUCAGCUUUUGAAACGAUUACUCGCAUUGUCGAGAAAGCAGUAAGUGCCUGAUGCUUUCUUUUAAAAUGUUUGUUUAUUCUACUCUUCUGCGGAACGAUGAAUCGGCGUGAAGUGAAAAAAAGGAAUUUGGUAAUCAGAAGAGAGGCUGGGACACAUUUGUGGGUAUCUGUGGACAUUUUUCCUGAGUUUGGGGAGGAAGAAAGCCCCAGGCUGUCUCCUCUAAAUCAUGUGACAUGUACACGUACUCAGAGCCUCUUGGAACACCCAGCAGUGUCCUAAUGAAUAAUAACGGGCCGUACCCUCCCCACAGCAUUUCCAUGGGGAGGACUUACCGUUCCCCCAGAUGGGGAUUAGACCUAAUAAAUUACACUUCAGGACGCAGGAUAUACACUCGACGUCCAGGCUGCGCACACACGGAUGGCCCUGACCACAGAAGAUCCAUCAGCCUCAGCUUGGACGCACAGCAGGCGCCAAGGAGCAGGCAGCGGGCUGGACUGUGUCCCAAUGAGGUAGUUCUUGGAGUAGGGAAGGAAAUGCCAACCCCACUCGGGGAGUAUACCUUGGGGGGAUUCCAGGAUCCCAGGGACUUGGACCCUGCAUUUGUGAACUGCUCAUCCUCCUAAGGGCGUCUGCCCGUCUUUGAGUCUCCAGAAGGGUCUCCACCCUCGGCACUGUUGACACGUUAGGCCACAUGAUUCUUCACUGUGAGGGACGGUCCCUUGCGAUUUAAGAUGUUUACCAUUAUCCCCGGCCUCUACCCACUGGAGGCCGGUAGCACCCGCUGCUCACAUUUGUGGCAACUCAAAAUGUCUGCAAACAUUGCCGAUGUCCUGAGGAUGGGGAGUGGGUCAAAAUCCUCCCUGGCUGAGGGAGAAUCGCUGGUCUACACCCGGAAGGACAAAGAUUGAUUUUGCUUCUCCGUUUGACUCUGGAAGCCUCCAGUGGCUCCCUGGCUCACUCCGGGGAAAUGCCAGUUUACUGCAUGACCCACCUGUCCAGCCUAGACCUCACCCCUGGGUUUCCGGCCCUUGCUUGCUCUCUGCCGGCCAGACCGGCCUCCUGCUCUUCCUCAGAGGCCCCCAGCACGUCCUCAUGGUAGGCCUUCCAUAUUCACCACUCUCUGGUGCUGGAAAUGUCCUUUGAGCUGCCUCCUUUCCUGGUGUCCACAUGGCUCAUUUCUGCAUUUGCCUGGUCCUGCUCAGAUGUCAGCAGAGGGAGGCACUGUCCUCUGACCACCUGACUAAAGAGCACCCAGCUCUGGGCGGCGCCUGUGGCUCAAAGGAGGAGGGCGCCAGCCCCAUAUACUGGAGGUGGCAGGUUCAAAUGCAGCCCUGGCCAAAAACUGCAAAAAAAUAAAACCACCCCGCUCUGUCACUCGCAGAGCUCUUCCUUCUGACGAAUUCUGCCUGCAACUCCACGCUCCGCCUGUCACUGUGCGUCUGUUUCCCAUCUUCCUCACGUGCCCACGAGCACAGGACCCUGUCUGCCUGCACAGCUGCUAUCUUCUGUCUCAAAACAUCUCCUCAGGGUUUUAAUUUAUGGGAGUGACUCGUCAAUUCACAGGGAAGACCACUGCCAUGAAGAAAAGAGUUUUCCUACUUACAUUUCCAGCACUGGACUUGGUCAGGAGGCAGAAGCAGGGGCAAGGGGAAAGCUUGGGCCAGAACCCUUACCCGGGCUUCUCGGGGAAGGGCUCGGUCGGGCACCCUGGGACUGGCUGAUGCACUAGGCUUCAGGCUACAGGGUGCUCUCUGGCUUCCUGGUACCUGAUCCUCAAAUGACAUAGGGCAGGGGAUAGACUGGCUGGGUGUGUGAGAGUUAGAUCAGGAGGUGUCUGGGCUACAGACUCCAGGUGGGUUGGUUUGCAGGUAAAAGGGCACACUCACAACAAGUUGUUAGAUUCUCUCUAGGAGAGGGGAUUUCCACACCGAUAUGUAAGACCCCUGAAACGUCAAAGACAAAAUAAAAAACACCAUGAAUACAUAUUUCUAACUCCUCAAGCAGGCCCUGGCCAUCACAGGUGCCGAGGAAUGGAUUG